GACGAACGCUGGCGGCGUGCCUAACACAUGCAAGUCGAACGAUGAAGCUGGAGCUUGCUCUGGUGAAUUAGUGGCGAACGGGUGAGUAACACGUGAGUAACCUGCCCCGAACUCUGGGAUAACUGCUGGAAACGGUAGCUAAUACUGGAUACGACCUACGAAGGCAUCUUCUGUAGGUGGAAAGAAUUUCGGUUCGGGAUGGACUCGCGGCCUAUCAGCGUGUUGGUGAGGUAAUGGCUAACCAAGGCGACGACGGGUAGCCGGCCUGAGGGUGACCGGCCACACUGGGACUGAGACACGGCCCAGACUCAGACGGGAGGCAGCAGUGGGGAAUAUUGCACAAUGGGCGCAAGCCUGAUGCAGAAACGCCGCGUGAGGGAUGACGGCCUUCGGGUUGUAAACCUCUUUUAGUAGGGAAGAAGCGAAAGUGACGGUACCUGCAGAAAAAGCACCGGCUAACUACGUGCCAGCAGCCGCCGUAA
rnacentral:rRNA from 1 species